ACUAAGGAGAAAUUUCCUGACAGUAAGAACAAUCAACCACCAAAAGUUGUGGGUGCUCCAUCACUGGAGGUUUUUAAGAAGAGAUUGGAUGGCCAUUUAUCUGCAAUGCUAUAGGGUCUCUUGCAUGAGGAGGGGGUUGAACUAAAAGACCAACAAGUUCUCUUC